rnacentral:rRNA from 1 species
AGUGAACGCUGGCGGUAGGCCUAACACAUGCAAGUCGAACGGCAGCACAGUAAGAGCUUGCUCUUACGGGUGGCGAGUGGCGGACGGGUGAGGAAUACAUCGGAAUCUACUUUUUCGGGGGGGAUAACGUAGGGAAACUUACGCUAAUACCGCAUACGACCUACGGGUGAAAGCAGGGGAUCUUCGGACCUUGCGCGAUUGAAUGAGCCGAUGUCGGAUUAGCUAGUUGGCGGGGUAAAGGCCCACCAAGGCGACGAUCCGUAGCUGGUCUGAGAGGAUGAUCAGCCACACUGGAACUGAGACACGGUCCAGACUCCUACGGGAGGCAGCAGUGGGGAAUAUUGGACAAUGGGCGCAAGCCUGAUCCAGCCAUACAGCGUGGGUGAAGAAGGCCUUCGGGUUGUAAAGCCCUUUUGUUGGGAAAGAAAAGCAGCAGGUUAAUACCCCGCUGUUCUGACGGUACCCAAAGAAUAAGCACCGGCUAACUUCGUG